UACGGAGGGUGCAAGCGUUGCUCGGAAUUAUUGGGCGUAAAGGGUAGGUAGGUGGUCUCGUUUGUCUGGGGUGAAAGCCUUGAGCUUAACUCAAGAAGUGCCUCAGAAACGGCGAGACUAGAGUUCUGGAGAGGGUCGUGGAAUUCCCGGUGUAGCGGUGAAAUGCGUAGAGAUCGGGAGGAACACCAGAGGCGAAGGCGGCCCCCUGGUUGGAUACUGACGCUGAUACGCGAAAGCGUGGGGAGCAAACAGG
rnacentral:rRNA from 1 species